rnacentral:rRNA from 1 species
UACGUAGGGUGCAAGCGUUAAUCGGAAUUACUGGGCGUAAAGCGUGCGCAGGCGGUUAUGUAAGACAGGUGUGAAAUCCCCGGGCUUAACCUGGGAACUGCAUUUGUGACUGCAUAGCUAGAGUACGGCAGAGGGGGAUGGAAUUCCGCGUGUAGCAGUGAAAUGCGUAGAUAUGCGGAGGAACACCGAUGGCGAAGGCAAUCCCCUGGGCCUGUACUGACGCUCGAUGCACGAAAGCCGUGGGGAGCAACGGG